AGGAACCUGGAAAACACCGUAUCAGUUAUUCAAUAAGCCUACCUGGUCACCAAUUUUGAGAGGAACUAUAUCACCAACAACGAGAUCAAAAAUUGAAACUUCAACUCUUCUGCCACCUCUCGUCCAAUUACGAUAAUGUCGCGUUUUGAGAAAAGUCUAAACAGAGCGACCAAUUACGAUAAUGUCUCAUCAAUAAUCACGACCAGG